rnacentral:rRNA from 1 species
GGACCCGCACAAGCGGUGGAGCGUGUGGUUUAAUCCGAUGAUAAGCGUAGGACCUCACCAAGGUUUGAAAUGUAACUGCAUACCUUUUGAAAGAUUGGUAGCCUUAGAGGGUGUUACACAGGUGCUGCAUGGCUGUCGUCAGCUCGUGUCGUGAGAUGUCGGGUUAAGUCCCGUAACGAGCGCAACCCCUAUCCAGUGUUAUUAUGUCUCUGGAGACUGCCCUGCUAAAACGGGGAGGAAGGUGGGGAUGACGUCCAGUCGUCAUAGCCCUUAUGUCUUGGGCAACACACGCGCUACAAUGACCGGUAUAAAGGGUAGCCAAGCUGUAAAGCGGAGCCAAUCCCAUAAAACCGGCCUCAGUUCGGAUUGAGGGCUGAAACUCGCCCUCAUGAAGUUGGAAUCGCUAGUAAACGUAGGUCAGCAUACUACGUUGAAUACGUUCUCGGGUCUU